GGAUGCGAUCAUACCAGCACUAAAGCACCGGAUCCCAUCAGAACUCCGAAGUUAAGCAUGCUUGGACGAGAGUAGUACUAGGAUGGGUGACCUCCUGGGAAGUCCUCGUGUUGCAUUCC
rnacentral:rRNA from 2 species